CUUGCAUCAACUCCCAGUUCCGAGAGGACGUUGGUGACUGGGUGGAGGGGAGGGCCGCCAGUGUCCCUGUCCGCGACGCUGCACAAGUGGAGGGAAUACCGGCAGCAGUGUCUGAGGCUCCUGUGGGAGACGCCUUCACCGGCCGCAGGAGUCACCGUUUGCAACCGAACGUUUGACGACUACGCCUGUUGGCCAGAUGGAGUCCCGGGGACCUUUGUCAAUGUUACCUGCCCCUGGUAUCUGCCCUGGGCAAGCAGGGUCUCCCACGGACAGGUUUACCGCUUCUGCACUCUCGAGGGCACGUGGCUGCAGGAGAAGAACGCCACCCUGACCUGGAGGAACCUGACUGAGUGUGAGGACGCCGAAAAGGGUCCCCCCGAGGAGCAGUUUCUGUUUCUCUCCAUCAUCUACACGGUGGGCUACGCCCUCUCCUUCUCCGCCCUGAUCGUCGCCACUGCCAUCCUCCUCCAGUUUAGACACCUGCACUGCACCCGGAACUAUAUCCACCUGAAUCUCUUCACCUCCUUCAUCCUCCGGGCCCUGUCUGUCUUCAUCAAGGACACCGUGCUCAAGUGGAUGUACAACACAGCUACCCAGCAGCACCAGUGGGAGGGCUUCCUUGCCUACCAGGAAUCUCUGGGCUGCCGCUUGGUCUUCCUGAUGAUGCAGUACUGUGUGGCCGCCAACUACUACUGGCUCCUGGUGGAAGGGGUGUACCUGUACACGCUGCUUGUGCUCUCCGUCUUUUCCGAGCAAAGGAUCUUCCGGAUUUAUCUGUGCAUUGGCUGGGGUGUGCCCAUGAUGUUUGUCAUUCCUUGGGGAAUAGUCAAGUACCUCUAUGAAGAUGAAGGCUGCUGGACCAGGAACACAAACAUGAACUACUGGCUGAUCGUCCGGCUCCCCAUCCUCAUCUCCAUAGGGGUGAACUUCCUCAUUUUCAUCCGCGUCAUCUGCAUCAUCAUUUCCAAGCUGCAGGCAAACCUGAUGUGUAAAGCUGAUACCAAAUGCAGACUGGCCAAAUCCACCCUGACCCUCAUCCCACUGCUGGGGACGCAUGAGGUCAUCUUCGCCUUCGUGGUGGAUGAGCACGCCCGGGGGACCCUGCGCUACGUCAAGCUGUUUGCUGAACUCUCCAUCACCUCCUUCCAGGGGCUGAUGGUUGCCAUCCUCUACUGCUUCAUCAACAACGAGGUCCAGGCUGAAUUUCGGAAGAGCUGGGCGCGCUGGAGGCUGGAGCGUUCGUCCAUCGAGAGGGACAGCAGCAUGAAACCCACCCAGUGUCCAGCCGGCAGCCUAAGCAGCGCAGGUAGCGUCUACGCGGCCACUUGCCAGGCCUCCUGCAGCUAAGACUGCCCAUCAUCCCUCUCGCCGGGUCGGAGGAAAAGCAAUUUAACCGGAUUAUCUCACUGGGAGGGGUAAAUUAUCACCUGCUUUGCAGAGGAGGAGUUGGAUUUUCUGCCCGUAAAGGCACAAGGCCUCCAGGUGUCCACAGACAGACCAGCAAAUCAACACAGGUGGCAAACGCGAGGUCAAUGGCUUAUUAGUUGGGUGGGAGGGGAGAAGUCCCGGCUCGGGGAGUCAUUGAUGAAAACUGCCCCGGGGGGUGCAGACGAUAUCUUUGUUCUAACUCUUCCAGGCCACUGGCGUUUGCCCACUUACAAGAGACCUUAAACGGCCUCAUUUUUUUCCAACCCCAGCCAUCGCAGUGCAUUUCCGGGCCCACCUCCUUGGCUGGCAUCCUAUCAUUAUUAUUAAUCGUAUUUAUUGAGCACUUACUGUGUGCAAAGCACUGUAUUAAGUGCUUGGGAGAGUACACUAUGACAUCAAAAACAUUCCCUACCCCCCCCAACGAGCUCACAGUCUAGAGGGGAAGAUAGACAUUAAUAGAAAUAGAUAAAUACUAAAAGGGGGAUCCCUCUCUGAGGCUGGGGAGAUGGUAGAGGCCAAUUACCAGUUACCAAUUCUGGACCAAAAGCACUGGUUGAUGUUGGCGUGAAGGUCACUUUUCUUGCUCUGUAGAUUCCACGCUCUGCCUGCGAACCAUCCUCAGUUUCUAGCAGG
rnacentral:lncRNA from 1 species